rnacentral:rRNA from 1 species
CACGUAGGCACCAAGCGUUGUCCGGAUUUAUUGGGCGUAAAGAGCUCGUAGGCGGUUCAGUAAGUCGGGUGUGAAAACUCUGGGCUCAACCCAGAGACGCCACCCGAUACUGCUGUGACUUGGGUACGGUAGGGGAGUGGGGAAUUCCUGGUGUAGCGGUGAAAUGCGCAGAUAUCAGGAGGAACACCAGUGGCGAAGGCGCCACUCUGGGCCGUAACUGACGCUGAGGAGCGAAAGCGUGGGUAGCAAACAGG